AACGAACGCUGGCGGCAUGCCUAACACAUGCAAGUCGAACGAGACCUUCGGGUCUAGUGGCGCACGGGUGCGUAACGCGUGGGAAUCUGCCCUUGGGUUCGGAAUAACAGUUAGAAAUGACUGCUAAUACCGGAUAAUGUCUUCGGACCAAAGAUUUAUCGCCCAGGGAUGAGCCCGCGUAGGAUUAGCUAGUUGGUGAGGUAAAGGCUCACCAAGGCGACGAUCCUUAGCUGGUCUGAGAGGAUGAUCAGCCACACUGGGACUGAGACACGGCCCAGACUCCUACGGGAGGCAGCAGUGGGGAAUAUUGGGACAAUGGGCGAAAGCCUGAUCCAGCAAUGCCGCGUGAGUGAUGAAGGCCUUAGGGUUGUAAAGACUCUUUUACCCGGGAUGAUAAUGACAGUACCGGGAGAAUAAG
rnacentral:rRNA from 1 species